AGCAGCCGCGGUAAUUCCAGCUCCAAUAGCGUAUAUUAAAGUUGUUGCAGUUAAAAAGCUCGUAGUUGAAUUUCGGGGUUAGUAGGUUGGUCAUGCCUCUGGUAUGUACUGGUCUCACUGAUUCCUCCUUCCUGAUGAGCCGUAAUGCCAUUAAUUUGGUGUUGCGGGGAAUUUGGACUGUUACUUUGGAAAAAUUAGAGUGUUUAAAGCAAGCUAACGCUUGAAUACAUUAGCAUGGAAUAAUGAAAUAGGACGUUCGAUCCUAUUUUGUUGGUUUCUAGGAUUGACGUAAUGAUUAAUAGGGAUAGUUGGGGGCAUUAGUAUUCAAUUGUCAGAGGUGAAAUUCUUGGAUUUAUUGAAGACUAACUACUGCGAAAGCAUUUGCCAAGGAUGUUUUCAUUAAUCAAGAACGAAAGUUAGGGGAUCGAAGACGAUCAGAUACCGUCGUAG
rnacentral:rRNA from 1 species